rnacentral:rRNA from 1 species
CAGACAUGCAAGUCGAACGGUCUUUUCGUCGGGGUAACCUGACGGGAAGAUAGUGGCGAAAGGGAGCGUAAUGAGUAGAUAACGUACCCUGUGCACGGGGAUAGCGGCGGUGCUUGCACCUACCGAAAGGGCCGGUAAUACCCGAUGACCUCCGAGGGCCUGAUGGUUCACGGAGCAAAGGAUGGGGAUCCUUCGGGACCUAUCGGCACAGGAGCGGUCUACUUCCCAUCAGCUUGUUGGUGAGGUAACGGCUCACCAAGGCGACGACGGGUAGCCGGCCUGAGAGGGCGAUCGGCCUCACUGGGACUGAGAUACUGCCCAGAGCCCUACGGGGUGCUGCAGUUUCGAAUCGUUCGCAAUGCGCGAAAGCGUGACGACGCGACGCCGCGUGCGGGAGGAAGGCCUUCGGGUUGUAAACCGCUUUUAGGGGGUAUGAAGAGAUCGGGGCGAAUAGUCCCGUGAUCUGACGUCAACCCCAGAAUAAGCUCCGGCUAACUUCGUGCCAGCAGCCGCGGUAAGACGAAGGGAGCGAGCGUUGUUCGGUAUCACUGGGCUUAAAGGGCGCGUAGGCGGCCAUGCAUGUCGGUUGUGAAAUCCCCGGGCUCAACUCGGGAAUUGCUUCCGAAACUGCGUGGCUUGAGGCAUUCUGGGGGCGACUGGAACUCUUGGUGGAGCGGUGAAAUGCGUAGAUAUCAAGAGGAACGCCAGUGGUGAAGACGGGUCGCUGGGAAUGUCCUGACGCUGAGGCGCGAAAGCUAGGGGAGCGAACGGGAUUAGAUACCCCGGUAGUCCUAGCCGUAAACGAUGUGCACUAGGCUGCGGAAGUUCUGACACUUUCGCGGCCGGAGCAAAAGUGUUAAGUGCACCGCCUGGGGAGUACGGUCGCAAGGCUAAAACUCAAAGGAAUUGACGGGGGCUCACACAAGCGGUGGAGGAUGUGGCUCAAUUCGAACCAACGCGAAGAACCUUAUCCUGGGUUUGACAUGCACGGAUGAAACCUGUGAAAGCAGGGGACUGCCCGCAAGGGUGAAACGUGCACAGGUGCUGCAUGGCUGUCGUCAGCUCGUGCUGUGAAGUGUCGGGUUAAGUCCCUUAACGAGCGAAACCCUUGUCGUUAGUUACCAGCGGGUCAUGCCGGGAACUCUAACGAGACUGCCGGUGUUAAACCGGAGGAAGGUGGGGAUGACGUCAAGUCCUCAUGGCCUUUAUGCCCAGGGCUGCACACGUCCUACAAUGGGGUGAACAGAGGGCCGCUAAACCGCGAGGUCACGCUAAUCCCUUAAAACACCUCCCAGUCCGGAUUGCAGGCUGCAAUUCGCCUGCAUGAAGUUGGAAUCGCUAGUAAUCGCGGAUCAGCAUGCCGCGGUGAAUGUGUUCCUGAGCCUUGUACACACCGCCCGUCAAGCCAUGGAAGCUGGUAGUACCCGAAGUCGCUGACCCAACCCGUAAGGGAGGGAGGUGCCGACGGUAAGACCGGUGACUGGGGCUAAGUCGAAACAAGGUA